rnacentral:rRNA from 1 species
UACGUAGGGUGCAAGCGUUAAUCGGAAUUAUUGGGCGUAAAGAGCUCGUAGGCGGUCUGUCGCGUCGGAUGUGAAAAUCCAGGGCCUCAACCCUGGACCGUGCAUUCGAUACGGGCAGACGUAGAGUUCGGUAGGGGAGACGUGGAAUUCCUGUGUAGCGGUGAAAUGCGCAGAUAUCAGGAGGAACGACCCAAUGGCGGAAGGCAGCACUCUGGGACGUGACUGACGCUGAGACGCGAAAGCCAGGGGAGGCGAACGGG